GUUCAGCUAGUUUUUAUCCAAACGUUUUGAAACUUGGUAUAUUUACUAAUUUUUGGGUGUCCUUUCAUSKGGUGGGGYUUGUUUCGURAUUAGAUCAAUAUUUCUUUGAUUAGUGCCCAGUCCCCUGCGCAACUCCGGAAUGGCUAAUAAUACUAGAUGACUGAAUGGUUGUUGGUCAGAUGCAUUUGAUAAAAACCUGCAAAGUGUUCCUGAACAAUUCUGUUUUCCAUGGUAGUGUGAUCUUCUUACUAAAAGAUCCAUUUGGGAAAUCACGCAGUAUGAUGCAAUUUGAAGUCAUGUUGCCUACAGAUCAAUGAAAUAAUUUCAUAAAAAUUAUGGAGAAUAAUGUUAAACUUUUAUUGGCUAAACAUUUAAAGAUGUUUUGAGGUGAUUGAACGAAUUGUUGUUAUUCGACUGCUAUACAACAUGUAUACAUGCACAGUAUCCAGUGAAGGAUAAAGUCUGUGAAUGAAAUUUAGAGCAUGAGACAUUAUUUCUUGACAACAGUUUUUGCAUGCAUUGAGCUGGUCAAAUCCUUUACUACUUGAUUUACAUACUAUAGUUAAGGUCUCUGAAUUGGUGACUCCAGUAGGAUGCUUUGUGGUUUCUGAGUUCAACCAUAGCAGAGUAACCAUGAAGGCCUGUUAAACAGAAAAUGUUUAGCCUUUGUUGUCCAUUACAACUGCACAUAAGUUGUGUAAGUUCUUCUUUAGAAAAAGCAACAACAAAGACAAUAAUGCAACCUCAAAACAACAAUCUCAAUUAUAAUGCACCAAAUGGAGGGCAAUAAUUUUGUUUUGGGUAAAGUCCUAUAAGUGACUAAUGAGUGUCCUGUGUACAGGGCUGGGUAUUUACCAUACUGAGAGUCAACGUCAUCCAAAACUGGCUUGUGGAGUGGUGCUUGGAAGAUACUAUUAAAAGUAGAAAUAUUCAAGAAAAUCACAAUUACGAUUAAUUAUAAUGAUUGGAAUUUAUUGACGUUUCUAGUCAAAUAUAUGAAAUAUGAAUUUCAUAGAGCAAUAAUUUGAUUAUAUUAAAUAUGAAAUUCAAAAUCAUUUUGAAUUUUUGAUGGAGAAUGAGUCUGGUGUAUAGCURCUGUUGAAAAAUGAAAAGCACUUACUUGGAAAAGGACCCAAGUAAAGCUCUUUUAAGAAGAUUAUUGUAGUGUAAGCAGGCAGUAAUAAAUGCAACUUCUCCACCAUCCUAUUGUUACGUAAUAAAAUACACAACCAUGAAAAUGUGUUAACUUUGGACUUCUCAAUAGACUGGGUUUGAUUCCCCAUACUUAUGAUUAUAUUAUGUUAAAAGUCACCUUCCAUGAAGAAGUCCAACAGGCAAGUAUCAGUUCAGGAUAAAUAAAAUGUGCUGAUAUCAUGUCA